GCGGCUCUGUGGUUGAGCAUCUUGUUUUGCACCCAGAAGGUCCUAGGUUCAAAUCCUGUCAUCUCCA